GGAUGUAUGUAGCUCAUGGGUACAACACUUGCCUUAGCAUUCAUCUAGAGGUCUUGGGAUCAAUUCCCAAUACAUUCC
rnacentral:tRNA from 1 species